rnacentral:rRNA from 1 species
UUAAAUUGAAGAGUUUGAUCAUGGCUCAGAUUGAACGCUGGCGGCAGGCCUAACACAUGCAAGUCGAACGGUAACAGGAAGCAGCUUGCUGCUUCGCUGACGAGUGGCGGACGGGUGAGUAAUGUCUGGGAAACUGCCUGAUGGAGGGGGAUAACUACUGGAAACGGUGGCUAAUACCGCAUAACGUCGCAAGACCAAAGAGGGGGACCUUCGGGCCUCUUGCCAUCAGAUGUGCCCAGAUGGGAUUAGCUGGUUGGUGAGGUAACGGCUCACCAAGGCGACGAUCCCUAGCUGGUCUGAGAGGAUGACCAGCCACACUGGAACUGAGACACGGUCCAGACUCCUACGGGAGGCAGCAGUGGGGAAUAUUGCACAAUGGGCGCAAGCCUGAUGCAGCCAUGCCGCGUGUAUGAAGAAGGCCUUAGGGUUGUAAAGUACUUUCAGCGGGGAGGAAGGUGUUGUGGUUAAUAACCGCAGCAAUUGACGUUACCCGCAGAAGAAGCACCGGCUAACUCCGUGCCAGCAGCCGCGGUAAUACGGAGGGUGCAAGCGUUAAUCGGAAUUACUGGGCGUAAAGCGCACGCAGGCGGUCUGUCAAGUCGGAUGUGAAAUCCCCGGGCUCAACCUGGGAACUGCAUUCGAAACUGGCAGGCUUGAGUCUUGUAGAGGGGGGUAGAAUUCCAGGUGUAGCGGUGAAAUGCGUAGAGAUCUGGAGGAAUACCGGUGGCGAAGGCGGCCCCCUGGACAAAGACUGACGCUCAGGUGCGAAAGCGUGGGGAGCAAACAGGAUUAGAUACCCUGGUAGUCCACGCCGUAAACGAUGUCUACUUGGAGGUUGUGCCCUUGAGGCGUGGCUUCCGGAGCUAACGCGUUAAGUAGACCGCCUGGGGAGUACGGCCGCAAGGUUAAAACUCAAAUGAAUUGACGGGGGCCCGCACAAGCGGUGGAGCAUGUGGUUUAAUUCGAUGCAACGCGAAGAACCUUACCUGGUCUUGACAUCCACGGAAGUUUUCAGAGAUGAGAAUGUGCCUUCGGGAACCGUGAGACAGGUGCUGCAUGGCUGUCGUCAGCUCGUGUUGUGAAAUGUUGGGUUAAGUCCCGCAACGAGCGCAACCCUUAUCCUUUGUUGCCAGCGAUUAGGUCGGGAACUCAAAGGAGACUGCCAGUGAUAAACUGGAGGAAGGUGGGGAUGACGUCAAGUCAUCAUGGCCCUUACGACCAGGGCUACACACGUGCUACAAUGGCGCAUACAAAGAGAAGCGACCUCGCGAGAGCAAGCGGACCUCAUAAAGUGCGUCGUAGUCCGGAUUGGAGUCUGCAACUCGACUCCAUGAAGUCGGAAUCGCUAGUAAUCGUGGAUCAGAAUGCCACGGUGAAUACGUUCCCGGGCCUUGUACACACCGCCCGUCACACCAUGGGAGUGGGUUGCAAAAGAAGUAGGUAGCUUAACCUUCGGGAGGGCGCUUACCACUUUGUGAUUCAUGACUGGGGUGAAGUCGUAACAAGGUAACCGUAGGGGAACCUGCGGUUGGAUCACCUCCUUACCUUAAAGAAGC